UAUCCCCAUUCCCAUUUCACACUCACACACCCAAAUGGAAAGAAAUCCUUGGUAAGACUUUGCACUAAAAAUUGGCCACAAGAAGUAGUCACCAUCUGCAAAGGAAAGCUUUGUCUCAUAGAUCAGGGGUCCCCAACCCCCGGGGCUGUGGACCAGUAUCUGUCCACGGCCUGUUAGGAACCGGGCCGCACAGCAAGAGGUGAGCAGUGGACGAGCAGGCGAAGCUUCCUCUGCCUGCGGCUCCCCAUCCCUCCCCAUAGCUACAUUACCGCCUGAACCAUACUCCCCCCCCUCAAAGCCCCGUCCAUGGAAAAACUGUCUUCCACGAAACAGGUCCCUGCUGCCAAAAAGGUUGGGGACCACUGUCAUAGAUGCUUCACUCCCCAGGACCUGAAGGAGUGAAACCGCCUCCCAAGAUGCGAAGGCCUUGAGCAGACACUGCUGCGCCGGGGAACACGCAGGACUUCAGAGAUCCGACUCCAGCCCUCAAGGAUCUGACUCCAGCCCUCAAGGACAGUGCCAGCAAGGAGAAAAAUAUCAGGACCCUGUGUGCAGGAGAAGGAGCCCCAAGGGAGAAGAAGGAAAGUCCUAGAUGUCCAUCUGAGGGAGACCCUGGACUGAAAGAAUUUAGAGUCCUGAGAAGAAUACCUGGAUCUAGUCUUAAUAUGCUGCUGGGAUUGUUCCUUGAGACUUGAGCGUGACUGUGGCAUACAGCAAAUGAAGAAGAGGGGUCCAAACAGCCUUCGCAGGAUCACUGAGGCUUCACUGUCACUCCUGUUUAAGAUGCCGGCUGGAGCCUUCUCAGCCAUGCUACACGGAAGCAAAUCUGGAAAAGUAGGAGAGGUAACACCCCUCAAGACAACCCCUGUCCAGUGGGGAAUGGAAACCCGUGGAUAAAUACUCCUUUCUUGGGAAGAUAAUUCUGAGGUAUGGGAAUUCCCUGGCGGUCCAGUGGUUAGGACUCCCCGCUUCUACUGCAGGGGGCCCAGGUUCAAUCCCUGGUCAGGGAACUAAGAUCCCAUAGGUCGUGUGGCACGGCCAAGAAAAAAGAAAAUUCUGAGGUGUAUUCUGCAUGGCUGUUCAGGGGACUUUAGUGAGACUGAGCCCCACAUCAACUCAAUAAUAGUGAUCAAACUCAGUAAUUCAAAAACCGUUACAUUGGUUUUACCCCCUUCCCUGUUUUACUCUUCUCCUGCCCUCACUCAUGUUCCCUGGGAUGAGUAGUAUGCUGGUCAAUGUUUUUUCCUUGCUCUCUAGGAAAAAAAAAAAUCACCCUGGUUUGUACCAUUUGCCCAUUUCUGCAGUUGGAUAGAGAUAUGCAUAGUUGGUCCAGUUGGUCCUUGGGAGCCAGUAGGAGCUGAGUCUGAGCACACCACUGCUCGGGAGCAUGACCCAAAAUAAACUACCUGCCUACAAAUCUUUGUCUCAGAAGACACAGGUGGCUUAGGAAGGACGAAGAGUUACCUAUCUGUCUGAGCCAAUAAGCAGAGAGUGGUUGGUACACCGACAUUAGCCAUGGAUACCAAUAAGACAAAAUAUUAUAAUGAGAUGGGAGGGAGAAGAAUUUCUAUUAUAUAACAAAUUGAUGGUGGGAAAAGGGGUAGGGGGUAAGAAUUUGAGGAUACUCAGAAGUUUCUCCUGGGUAGAUAGUAAUGCCAUUUCCAGACACAGAGAAUAUAGGACAAUGGUGAGUUCAUCCUUGGAUCUAUGAAAUUUAAGGGUUUUUAAAGAUAUUCAGGCAGAGUGUGGAAGCUGUGCACAGUAUUAUUGUGAAAUGUUAUUGUUGAUAAUUACUCAUUAUUCCUGGAAUAUCCCGCCUGCCUCUCUCUUCUCCAACCCAGGCAGCAGUGAGCAGUGCUUUCCAUAUUUACUGCCUUCAGGGGAGGGCUGUUACUACAGAAAAGAAAAGAGAAAGAUGAGUCCAUGUUCAGUUUAUAAGUUUCAAAACAGAGCUUUGAAUCUCCUAGUAGAAAAAAUAGGUUGAGAUAAAAAGGUUUUUUGAGUUUCAAAAGCCUGGAUUUUGAGCGCCAAGAGCCAAAGUUGAUGCCAUUAGCAUCAGAUUUUGAUAGAAUGAAUGAUGAUAAAAGAGCCAGUUUUCCUACCCUUAAGAGAGAGUUGGAGGUGAAAACAAGAUAUAGUUGAGUGUCUCUGAGAAAGGACCCUUCUCCCAGCCUACAUCCUCACUGCUGGGCUAUCAGUAGGAGACAGUGAUAUAAUUCCCAAAUAAUGGUGGAGAUCUGAGAGGAAGUGUGUGCCCACUUCCUAUCAGGAUCCCUAUGAGAUGGUAAGCCCCAGGUAGUUCUCCUUGGCUAGCAUACCUAGCAGCAAAUAAUAGCUAUAGUAGAAAUGAUGAUAGUGUGUGAUCUGACAGUGUGCUGGAGUCCAGCUGCCAAGAUUUCAGUCUCCAAAGUAGUAGGGGAUAGCAUGCAGAAGUUUCCACAAUCCUAAAAGAGGGUGGAAAAUGGUUGAGAGAGGGCCAGUGAACCAGGAGAGCCCGUAGAGAUGGGACAACGGCCAGAGAAUGAUAGGUGACCUGACAACAGCUAGAAUUACAAUACGGAGGGAUGACAGGAAAAAACCAGUCACCCUCCUCCACGGCCAUGACCACAUGUAAGCUCCUCGUACUUAGAUUCUACUCGUGAGAGAAUGGGGAGAAAAGAAAAAUAAUCAUUUGAUUGAGUUAAAGCCUGAAAAGACUGGGGAAAUCUGGAAUGACUACAUCUUUACACCUAAAAUUUACCAUAACUAAUUACUGUAACUUAAUCAAAAUUUACCACACUAGAAGAUUAAAAGAAAAAAGACCAUCUCAAAAGAUACAGAAGACAUUGUUAAGUAAAAUUCAGUGUCCAUUUAUGACCAAUGAUCUUAGUGAACUAGGAAUAGGAGUGAGCUUCUUAACCAAAUAAAGGCUAGAAAGAAAAAGACAAACCCCAAAUGAAAACAAAAUCCAAAACCCUACAGCAAAUAUCAUUCUCUUUAAAACCAGGAAUAAGACAAUUAUGCCUGUUAUCACCAUGUCUAUUUGUUAGACAGGACACUAAGAUAAAAAAAAGAAACACAAGUUGAGAGGAAUGGAAAGGAACAAGCAAAAUUGUCAGUCAAAGAUGUUAAUGAAUGUCCGUGUGAAAGUGAAAAUAAUUAUUUUAGACAUAAUGAAGUUGAGGAAGUUUGUUGAAUACUAAGGUAAAUGUACAAAACUGUUGUAUUUUUGUACACCAGCAAAAAACUAUUAGGGUGUGUAAUAAAAAAAGACAUUAAAUUUACAGUAGCAAGGAAAAAUGCAAAGUAUGUUGGGAUAAAUGUAGCAAAAUAUAUGCAAGACCACAGUGGAGAAAAUUGUAAAACUUUUUGAAAGACACUAAGAUUUAUUUAUUUUUAAACUUUACUUUUUAGAACAGUUCAGAUUUACAGAAAAAUUGUGAAGAUAGAACAGAGAGUGCCUAUCCACCCCACCCUCAGUUUCUCCUGUUAUUGCCAUCUUAUGUUAGUAUGGUACUUUGUUGUAAUUAAUAAAAAAAACCUUUAUAAUGCAUUAUUAUGAGAUAAUAGAAAAUAUAUGUCUGCCCCCAGUUCCCAGCACAGAGCUCCUAAAACCCUUGGCAUUUCCUAAGUGAUAAGAGCACUAGGGACAUCUGUUGUUCUACUAUUGAUCUUUUGUUUUGUUUUGUUUUGUUUUUGCGGUACGCGGGCCUCUCACUGUUGUGGCC